rnacentral:tRNA from 1 species
GUGGUGGUAGCGUAGUGGCUAAGGAGCUGGGCUAGCAAGCCUGACAUGUUGUGGGUUCAAUUCCCAGCGUCCACC